CAUAGCAUCAAUGGCUAUUGACACUUUUCUACUAUUACGUGGGGGACUUUUACUCUGACAUUUUCCGAAAUUCCGUGACCCACAAUAUUUUUUUUUGUGUUGCUGACGAGACACUGAUCAUGUGAUGAGUUCGCAAAUCAAAUGCCCCGCGUGUGCUGCCACUGGACAGCAAAACAAGGUGGAACCAACUUGCAUUACCUCCAGCAGGAAGAGAAGCAAGAACCAUUCAUCCGCCAGCUCAGGGACAAGCUACACUAUUCACAGCCCUGUUUAAUGUUCAAUGUAAUUACAUUGCUGGACCUUUUGAAACUUAAUGUAUUUGUAUUGUUAAAAUUUUUUACAGAUAAAAAGAAAUGUAUGGUUUAAA